UCCCUGGUGGCUCAGACAGUAAAGCGUCUGCCUAUGAUGCGGGAGACCUGGGUUCGAUCCCUAGAUCGGGAA
rnacentral:tRNA from 1 species